UACAGAGGUCUCAAGCGUUUGUUCGGAUUCAUUGGGCGUAAAGGGUGCGUAGGCGGCGCGGUAAGUCGGGUGUGAAAUUUCGAGGCUUAACUUCGAAACUGCAUUCGAUACUGCCGUGCUUGAGGACUGGAGAGGAGACUGGAAUUUACGGUGUAGCGGUGAAAUGCGUAGAUAUCGUUAAGGAAGACCAGUGGCGAAGGCGGGUCUCUGGACAGUUCUGACGCUGAGGCACGAAAAGCGUG
rnacentral:rRNA from 1 species